GGCGUCGGCCACUUUCAAAUUUUGGCGCUGGGCGGGCGGGCCGGGCGGCGACCGCGGCUCCCAGCCCCCUCCUCCCCCGCGAGCUCGGGCUCCCCCUGCGCAGGCCGCCCCCGCCCGGAGCGCAGCGGGAUUCGAACCCAGGACGCGCGGGCCCGGGGCGCAAGAGGGUUACAGGCUGUGUCGGGGCGGGGGCGGCGCGGGCCCGGCUGCCGCAGGGCCACCUGCGCCUCCCACGCGCGCUCCACCUUGAAACUCGCGGCGGGGGGGUGACGAGGGGGCGACCACUCUCGUCCCUCGAGUGCCUAGAGCUGUGCAGCCCUUGCUGCUGGGGACCUCGAGGCGGCCAGCCGGUGCCACGGGGUGACACUUCCUGCGUGUGCCCCUUAUUUUAUUCAAUGCUUCCUGCAGCUCCGUGAGGCUGGGACGCGUUCUCAGGGGGCAGGUGGCCACACAGAGGCCACCUUCGCAGCUCCCAACCUGGGGGGGCCUCGAGGGGGCCUCCUGCGACCACCAUCAUCCAUGGGACAUCUGU
rnacentral:lncRNA from 1 species